rnacentral:rRNA from 1 species
GUUCCUGGCUCAGGACGAACGCUGGCGGCGUGCCUAAUACAUUCAAGUAGAACGCUGAAGAGAGGAGCUUGCUCUUCUUGGAUGAGUUGCGAACGGGUGAGUAACGCGUAGGUAACCUGCCUUGUAGCGGGGGAUAACUAUUGGAAACGAUAGCUAAUACCGCAUAACAAUGGAUGACCCAUGUCAUUUAUUUGAAAGGGGCAAAUGCUCCACUACAAGAUGGACCUGCGUUGUAUUAGCUAG